GGGUUUUUUGCAGAUUUUCAAAUAAAACUCAGAAAUUCCUUGUAUGAUUCUCUCAGGUAUUUUGUGGUAUUUUUAGAUCCUUACCAAGGCAUUGAUGGUAUAUGCCUUCUCUCAAGAUAUGUAGUAUUUGUGGUAUGAGGCAUAGUGACAUUACCUUCUCUCUCACCCUACUCUAAUAAGGCUUUAAUAUCUGGAGCUCAUAGGUGGGAGAUAAAGUAUACAUACUUACAAGACAUUUAUUGCAUAGUCAAACCAUGGAUCCAAAGAAACAAAUCAAUAAGCCAAAUCAAGAUGUGCAUGUGUGGUGAAUGAAUGGUGUAUGGUGAUGAUGGUGAUAACAAUGGUGAAAACAAUGGUGGUGGAAGUCUAAUUCUACUUUUGCUCUUUUGAGGGGAUACAUACCUUCCUUGCUUUUGAAACUUUAUGUGGAGAAUGAGAUGCUCUUCUUCUUCUUUCUUUUUUUUUUCUUUUGUCUCUCAGGUGGGUAUCUUGCACCCCUAAUUCUACUGUCGGACACUUGUCCAUUUUUACCUCUCGUCCCACUUUUUCUUUUCUUUCGAGGUUCCGAGCACUUGCUCCUUUUUAUUUCCUCGUAUAUAUAUAUAUAUUUUUAGAGAACUCAUCUCUUGAGAUAAUAUAGCAAGUGGUAGUAACAAGAUAACUUGAGCAUUUAUUUCACAAGGGGAAAAUAGAAAUAUUUUUGGUUAUUCUCUCCCGAAUUAGGAGUAGAAUAUUUUUAGGUGAUUCUGGAGAUAGAAAUGGAUGGAUAUAUGUGGAUGGUACUUCUGGAGUAGAAGUAGCAUAUAUAUGAGUGAACGUGCAAGUGAAUCUUGAUUUAACCACAUGACAAGCUCCUAA
rnacentral:lncRNA from 1 species